rnacentral:tRNA from 1 species
GGAGAGAUGGCCGAGUGGUCGAAGGCGGCGGUCUCGAAAACCGCUGUACCCCUAAAGGGUACCGGGGGUUCGAAUCCCUCUCUCUCCGCCA